GCCCGUUUAGCUCAGUGGUAGAGCGCGCCACUCGUAACCUUAAUAUGAAGGCUGUUGUGAUGGUGAGGUCAAUCGUUCAAUCCGGUUAAUGGGCA